rnacentral:sRNA from 1 species
GAUUGGGUCUUUUAGAGUCCGACCCUUUCAUUUUCUUACACUGUGCACACACUUCUUUUUUACACACACUUUUAACACCUUAGUAUAAGAAUGUAAUAGUCUCUUAAUUGAGCAUAAAUAAAAACAAAACUUUCAGCAACGGAUCUCUUGGCUCUCGCAUCGAUGAAGAACGCAGCGAAUUGCGAUAAGUAAUGUGAAUUGCAGAAUUCAGUGAAUCAUCGAAUCUUUGAACGCACCUUGCACUCUUUGGUAUUCCGAAGAGUAUGUCUGUUUGAGUGUCAUGAAACUCUCAACCCCCCUAUUUUGUAAUGAGAUGGGUGUGGGCUUGGAUUAUGGUUGUCUGUCGGCGUAAUUGCCGGCUCAACUGAAAUACACGAGCAACCCUAUUGAAAUAAACGGUUUGACUUGGCGUAAUAAUUAUUUCGCUAAGGACGCUUUCUUCAAAUAUAAGAGGUGCUUCUAAUUCGCUUCUAAUAGCAUUUAAGCUU